rnacentral:lncRNA from 1 species
AUGUUGAGCUUCAGGUUGAGAGCUACAAUUAGAGCCAGUGUUUAUGGUGCUGGCCAUAUGGCUCACGAUGCAAAACAGCAGCUGCAUGGGAAUCUCGAGAGGAGCCCUCCCCAAGGUCACGGCGCGCAAGGGAGCACGUGCCCACCCAGGUGGGACACAGGAGCCUGCCACCGCUUGAUCUAUGACCGCGCACGUACGGAUCGAGCACCUCUGAUGCAAACUAAUGCCAGAGCAGCUGUGGAGCACUGAUUGUGUUGCAAAGACGGAUGCUUAGCAGAGCAUCGGGGACACGGAAACAUCAGGGGUUUCUUCCUCCUUCCAGAGACCCGCUGCAAGUUCCUGAAAUUAGGAGGGAGAUGGGCUGAAGUCACCUAGGACCUUACAGUGCCUUAAAAGUAAGCUCUAGGUCAGCACUGGGAUAAAGGUUUCCCUUUUACUGGAGGGUCUUCUAGAGGGAAUUUAUCUGGGUACCACUCAUGGAGAGCCACAUGAGAUGGGGGCUUUCAUGGCAGCAAGCAUCUUGCUGUCCCAAAUCCGGGCACUUUCUGCCCAUUCUGUUUCUGCUGUGACCCUCCCCUUUCUAUCCCAAAGAUACGUGACAACAUGACCACCACUGUGGCCCCUUGUCUGAUUGAUAGUCCCAGCUGUGUCAUCCACAAACACAAGGUAAGAAAUCCCAUUACUGCAAUCACAAAUGCAUUACACCCAUAUCUAAAGAGCAGAGAUUCAUUCCAGAUUAGGUAGAUUAUUUUUUCUUAAGGAGGGACAGUGUUUAAAUCACAAAUUUUCUAUAGAAAUAG